UACAUACUUUGUGCAUCCUAGGUAUUAGAGCUUUUUGCUUUUUCAUGUGUUGUCCUCACCGAAGGAAUGGUGUGCUGCUGUUACACUGUGAUGAACAAGUGCCUGGAUGCUUGUAAAGAUCUGCAUGAGCAGAGGUGAUCCACUGUUGCCACUGCUGAAAUGCAUCUCUCACCACCUCAGCGUUCUCACAUCUACUGUUUGAUCUUCAUAAAUGUUCGGCAAGUGUUGAAUAUCAAUGGGUGCUAUUUUUCUACAUGGAGAAAUUCAGUGAUGCUCCUUUGCUUCAUAUGCACUUCUGUAUCAGAUGCCAUUUUGUGAGACUGCCCCUCUGCUGCCAUAUGUCACAUGGCAACAACAUGGAGUGGAAUAUUGGUGGGCAGUUUCUACUGUGGGAAGAUUCUACUGUUGUGGGCCAACAGAAUAAAAUCAUGUAAAAAUUCUGAUUAUAAGAUUCUUUCCUUUGGAAUUUUGAUAAGCCUUUAAAAGAGCAUGUUCACAGAUGCAGCAACUACAAAAGUGGCUGUUGUUGAAAACUCACUGUUCAGAGAUUGUUGUCAAAUAAUUUUCUUUUGUAAAAUAUGAUAAAAAUCGAAAUCCAAGAUUAUCAUACAUUAAUCUCUGGAAAUAUUUAUUAUUAUGUCUUCUGCUGGUUAAUAUGAGAAUAUAUAUUACGCAAGCAAUAUGAUACGUCUAUCUGGGAAAUAAAAUAAAAAUGUGUCAUAAUAUUUUUACAUAGAUACUAGUAUUUUAAAAUUAUAAUAAUAUUUAUACUGAAAAUCCUUUGAUACUUAAAUAUCCUGAAAGUUUUUUGUUUGUUUGUUUGUUUGUUUUCUUCAAGUAGAGUAAGUUUCUCACAUACUUUUAAGUCUUCUGAAAAGUAAAGAUUUUUUGGUAUAUUUCAGAAAAACUUAUCUUCUACAGUACAUUUUGUCUUAUCAUAAAAAACACAGUUUUCAAUUCCAGAUAAGUUGAGAUUCAUGUGUUAAAAAUUAUGAAUAUUUAUUUAUGAUGAUACAUAGGAUUCCCAAUUGUCAAAUUUCUUGUGAAAUAAUGGUGUGAUAUGAACUCCAUGGUUUUUGUUUUCUUAUUUGUUUGCCUUACCUCUUUUUUUCUUUUCACUGGAAAUAAUUUGGGCAUCUUAUACCUGUUGUGUUCAGUAUACAUUCCAGACACAGAAUAUUUUUAAGAAAAAUGUCAUAUAUUUAUUCAUUGUCAGUCAUUGCAAAACCUUUCAUUUUGUGGCAUACUUGCCAUAUAUAUACAUAUAUAUAUCUUC
rnacentral:lncRNA from 7 species